AUUAUUAUAAGUAAAAUCUGCUCAAUGAAACAUAAAUAGCCGCAGAAUUUUAACUGUGCUAAGGUAGCAUAAUCAUUUACCUUAUAAUUAAAGGUCUGUAUGAAAGAUUUAACAUUUAAAUUUCUUUUUUGUUAAUAUUUUUAAAAUUAAACCAAAUAUAAAAAUGUGUUUAUACAAAAAUAAGACGACAAGACCCUAUUGAACUUUACUUAAGUUAAGCUGGGGAAGCUAAUUAAAUAUUAUUUUAAUUUAUCUAAUACCAUAAACUUCUGAUUGCAUCAUUUCGAACAAGUUACCAUAGGGAUAACAGCGUAAUAAUUUUUUAAAGCUCUUAUUAAAAAGAAAGUUUACGACCUCGAUGUUGAAUUAAAAUUACUAUAAACCGCAAUAGUAUAAAAGUUGGUCUGU
rnacentral:rRNA from 1 species